AUCUCCCAUGCAUUCACUGGCGUCAAGCUGCCCCACUUAAUUCUAGGUCUACACUCCUCACCCCUUCUCUUCCUAUCCUUCUUUAUACCCAAAUCCAUAACCAAGAGCCUAUGCUGGGUCGAAAGAUUCUCACUUGGGAUGACCUUACAGUCCUUACACAACACCCUAUCCUCUUUCCUAAACAAUAAAAAGUCAAUCUGGCUUUUGGCUAUUGCACUUUGGAAGGUGAUAAGGUGAUCGUCCUUCUUUGGGAAGUCCGAUUUCACCACCACCAGCCCAAAGGACCUCAUAAAAUCCAAUAGAGUAGCCCCCUCUUCAUUUUUUUCCCCAAAACCAAAACCACCAUGCACAUCACCAAAGCCUCCCGGUAACGCCCCGAUGUGCCCAUUGAAAUCUUCUGCUACAACAAUCUUCUCCGAGCUAGGCAUGCCUCUCACCACCUUAUCCAAAGCCUCUCAAAACUGCAUCUUCUCCUCCCCAUCCAAGCCCACUUACGGCGCAUAAGUACUACACACGUUCAGGGUAACCCCCCAAUAACCAACUUAAUAAUCAUCAACCUAUUGCUGAUCCUCUUUACCUCUACUACCUGACCUCUAAGCUCUUCAUCUACUAAGAUGCAAAACUCCAUUCCUACGCCUCUCACUCCCAGAGUACCAAAGCUUGUAACCAUCCACAUUCCUAGCCUUAGACCCUACCCGCUUGGUCUCAUGAACACACAUAAUAUUAAUCCUCCUCUUUCUAAGAAUCUUCACAAGCUCUAUGGACUUACCCUGAAGAGUCCCUAUAUUCCAAGACCCAACCCUCAGCCUACCAUCUCUAUCAACACGUCUUCCUCUACCGCCCCUGAGGCCAAACCUUGGCCUCCCUCCCACCCCCGCCCUUUCCUCUUCCCCGCCCCCACAAUAGCCCUCUGCCCCGACCCCCUCAGACAUGACCCUAUCCAAAUAUCAAUGCCCACCGCCACUACUAUAAGAAAAUAUAAGAAAAUAUAAACAAUGGUAGUAACAAAGUAGCAGUAGGAAAUACAAGGCUCACACAAAUUAGAAGAAAUAAUCAAGAAACAAAACUAAACUCAAAUAGGGAGAAAAAACAAAACCACAGUAAGGACAAAACUGACAGUAAGAAAAAUAGAGCACACUAAUGGCCUGGCACCAAGGACAGCCAAACAAAUAAUAAGGGGCGGUGCAAGAAAUAGGUAGAAAAAACAAAACCAAGGUAAGGACAAAACUAACAGUAAGAAAAAUAGAGCACACUAAUGGCCUGGCACCAAGGACAGCUAAACAAAUAAUAAGGAGCGGUGCAAGUUACGAAUAUACUACAGCAGACGCGCAAGUCAAGAUACAGGAGAUAGUACGAUAAAUAAUAUGAAGCAGAGGUUCAAAAACAACAAGACAAUAAAGACACCCUCAAAGCACACACAAUAUCCAAAUUUUAAGAACAACAACUACUAGAAAUCCAAAUAACAAAUAGGAAAUCCCACGCAAAUUACAGGCAACGAAAAUAUCAAAAAAUCGCGCGAUAAAAUAAAGUUCAAGGGUUAGAAGUCACCGAAAUAUGUAUAUCAUGUAAUCUGCUCUUGCUUGUUGUGCUGGAACCCAGCAAAUUUGGUCGCCGGAAAGUCGCCAGCUCAAAUCUGGAUAGUAGUUGCAAUAUCCGGUAGAGACCCCCACCUGGAUUUUCUGGCUCCGCCGCCUUCACCACCGACGUCCGUCGAACCAGUCGAACCGUCGAACUAGUUCGCCGAAUCCGAGUAGUGCAAAUAUCUAAAUAUUAACUAGUGCAAAUAUCUAAAUAUCAAAGUUUAGAUGUCACCGGGGUAAUCCUGCAUGCUUAUGGUACCAUCAAUUUUGUUGUCAGAGUUGGUUGGUGAAAACAGUGUUGCCGAAAAGCUGUCGCCGAAUGUUACCGUCGCUGGAGCGUCUACUGUGCUUUAUCGGAUCUGUGUUUUGGUGACUGUCGACGGAGCCGAUCCUAGUCCCGCCGGUGAUAUCCGCCACUAAAAAGCAAAGAGGGGGGGAGGGGGGGAGGGGGGGGGAGAGGGAGAGGGAGGAAGGCAAAGAGGGUAACUUACCUUUGCCGGCGCCGGCGCUGGCUACUCUGUCGGAGAAGACGACCGUUAGGUGAACGUUAACUUUAGUGGAGGAGAGAGAGAGAGCGUUCAGGUUUCUGCAUUAUUCCUAACCACAAAAAUAGAUGAGUCCUUUUGAUGUUAGCAUCUAAUUACUUGUGAUUUCUUGUGAAUGAAAUUGCUUGUGGUUUCUGCAAAAACCUCUGAUCAUUCUUCAUUGACUUUUAUAUGUAGGUCAUCACAAUUGAACCAGGAGUAUACAUCCCUUCGUGCUUUGAUUGUCCAGAAAGGUAUACUUUGUUACUUUAUCAAGUUAAUGCUCCUUUUGACAUGCAUUCAGAUUUUUGUAUCUUAGAUCAUCCUUGAGAUCCUUAAAGAUUCUCGGUUUAUUGAACUGGUUCCAUCUGCCAAACUGUGUUGUGGUGGAUGGAUGAAGAAUUACUCUUUUAUGCGCGAAAGACACAAAUUAUCAUAUGACAUUGUCUUUAUUAGGCUUGUCAGGUAGAUCUUGUAUGCCAAAUCAACUUUUGCAAAGUUCUUGAGGUCAUAACCUGUAGCAGUUGUAGUCAUUUUGAGUGAUUUUACAAAAUCCCAGUUAGGUUGGGGUUUCAGUGAAUGACUAAUGGCUAAUUGUAUGUUCAACCAAGAAUGGGAUGAGCAACCUUCACUUUGAAAUUUCUUUUGCAAGAUUUAAAAAAGAUUCCGCACAUCGAAACAAAUAUUCCAUGUAGCAAUGGUACUUUGAGGUUGUCCCAUUCAAUGGAAGAUGAUUGCUGUUAUCGUAAAUCUUGGGGAGAAAGAAUAAUUGCUCGCGUGAACUAAGUAGCUGUAAAAUUUAAAUUUCUGUUGCCUGGUGAUUCAUCUACAGUUAAGGAACUAGCUUAUUCACUAAAGGAAUAAAUGGCACGCUUGUUUCGUUAGAAAUCUUUAUUUUACUCACUUUGAUAUGCUUAAAUCUCAAUGUCGAUAAUCACUUGUGUCAUUCAGGUACGGAGGUAUUGGAAUUAGGAUUGAAGAUGAAGUCCUUAUUACAGAAUCAGGUUAUGAGGUACGUUGACAGAAAUCGUUUAAUUCUUUAAGCAACCAUAUAGCCUCUGAGCCUUUGAUUACGUUCAGAACUUAUUAGCAAUCGAGAGAUUAAGUUGGUUUUAUGACAUUGUAAUUAGAGGUCAGAUGCUCAAUGAAUCUCUAGCCAUAAUUCUGACCAUUAUUCCAAUUUCGACCUCACUGGUUACAGGUACUUACUGCUUCCAUACCAAAGGAAAUCAAACACCUCGAGUCCUUGUUGAACAACUUUGGCAGUGGAAGCGGAAUAGACGCUAGAGCUGCUCUAAGUUAGUUUGCUUUUAAAUCUCCAAGCUUCAACACAGCAACGACGAGUCCAAGUGGUGCGUGCUUUGUUUUCUUCAGAAGUUUGUAUGUGCUCCUGAUUCUUUUCAGGGCCAUUUCUACUCUGUAACAUGAAUGUGGAUCGUUGAAAUUGGAUGUUUUAAGUGUGGAAUAAUUAAUUUAUGUUAUUUGUUGUGAUUUUCUAAUAAGAAUAAUUCGAAGGCUCAUUUCGCUGUUUUUCUAAAUACCAUAAUUGUAUGCACUGAUGCACAUAUUGGAUUCGUUUUUAUAACAGUAAGGUUCAAAAUAACCCCUAAAUACCAAAAUUAGUAAUUUCUUCCUCUUAAUUUUGCUUCAAGGAUGAUAGCAUUUUUGGCCCCAAUAAAUUCUAAUUUUGGUUCUUCUACUGGAAUUGUAAGUCCUGGCAUAAGAAAUUAUUUCCUCGGUGGGGAGGAAGAUUGAUGAGAUUUCUUGAAUGGAGGGGAGUUGGUAGUUGCCCUAAUUAAUUAGUAGCUUUCAAUUGGUAAGGACAUUGAAACCAAAAAUAAAUAAAUAAAAAAUUGAAAGCAAGUCNNNNNNNNNNNNNNNNNNNAGGGAAAUUACCUCUUGAUUUUUUUUAUUGGACAAGUAAAAUUGCAAGUUACACUAUCAGUGCAUAUAAGCAUAUAUUCCUUUUUAGAAAAACAAGAAAAGUCAUCGUUUACAUUCUAAACUAUAUUAAAAAAGUCUAAGACAUUUAAAAUAUUAAGGUGACCUAAUACAUAUUUAAACUACUUAAAAAUAAUUUUUUUUAUCCCUAAAUUUGACGUGGAAAAACAUAAUUAUUUAAAUAAAAAAAAGCACGUCUAAAUAAAAAAUUAACGCAAAAAAAAAAAGAAGAAAAAAUUAAAAAUUCCCCUUCCCCUUCCCCCCCCCCCCCCCCCCACCCCUCCCCCACCCCCAAACCAUCUUCUUAUUUAUCACCCCAUACUCCCAAACCCCAAUCCCACCCCCAAAUAACGCAAUUUCGUCAUAUCCCAUCCUCCACCCCACCGAAUCGAUGUCAAUUACCUACAACCAUCAAUUUUUCUCACAAUAUCAUUGAUUAAUCAUCUAACCCACCACCAUUAACGUUUUAACUAACAAAUUUUAAAUUUUUAAUAUUUUUGAUAGAAAUUAAAAAUUAAAACUUUUGAUAAAAAGUUUCAAAUUCAUGACAACCCAAUGAUAUAAUUUUUGUUCUGUAUUAAUUACAGGUCGAGUAUUUUCAUCCAUUGCUUAAACCUGUGACGUAAUCUGCUCAAGUGAAAGCUUUGGGGAUGUUGGAGUUGCUUGCUUCUUGUUGCUGUUAAUCAGCAAAGCCUAUUGAAGUUGAGAUUUGUUGAUUCUCUUCAGUGUAUAAGAAAUCAAAAUGGAUCAUGUACCACCCUGCCAUGGCUUCCAAAGUUUUCAUAUCCUGAUUUGAAUUAUAAUUCAACUUGCUUCCAAGACGGCAUGGAGAGAAAAAUUGCCGACGAUGAGAAUACAGAUUUGUCACUGGGUUUUGGACAUUGAAGAAAAAGUUUAAAUUAAAAAAAAUUAUGAAAAUAAUAAAUUUAUUAUUUUUUUCGUAUUAUGCUGACGUAGCAGGUGCGUGUGAAAUACUGAACUACAUGCAAGUGGAAUAAUGCUUUACAGGAUAUAGAAAAAUUUACUUUUUAUAGUAUAGGUGUGUGAUAGGUCUCCAAUAGUUUAGAUGUGUCUUCGCCUUUUCAAGUAUAGUUUAAGGUGAAAACGAUAACUUUUCCCUAGAAAAAAUAAUAUAUAAACUAGUUAUAUACAUCUUAUUCUAUAUUAUAACGCGUAAUACAUUGAUAAGCAUGUCUAUAGAUAGAAUAGAACUAAUCUUAAAUACACCAAAUCAAAUAUAGGAUAAAAAAUAAUUCCAACAUAACUAGUCUUAUCAGUGACAAAUGUUCAUCCAAACCUUUUAUUACCAGUUUACCAGCUAAGCUACUACUUCAUAGGAAACUGUGCAAGUAUUUCAUAAGUAUCGCCAGCCUCAUACAGUCCAAUAAUUUUCUUGGGAUAGCUAGCUCAACCAUAAUUAUUGGACAUGUAUAGUCGUAUUCUUUCAUUAUUUUCUUUUACUUCAUAGGAUAUAAUGUAUGAAGGUGACUACUGAGGAGUUGACAUCGAAUUAGAUGUUUCUAAUAAAAUGCAUUUGUGUUAUUUUCGUGAUUUAACAUUGAACAUGAUUUUUUCCUGCCUGCUCUUCUUACUAGGUGUUAUUUUCGCAUUAAGUUAGAUAUGCGGUGGACUUUAUUUUCCCGGCUUGCAAGGCUGUGUGUACGUAAAUUAAAGAGCCCCACUCAUUAGUGGCGGAGCUACACUUUGAAAUAGGGGUUCAUCCGAAUCCCCUUCGACGGAAAAUUGUACUGAUUAAAACUAUUUUUAUAUAUAUAUUGUAAAUGUCGAACCCCCUCCGUUUAGUUUUUAUGUUUACUUAUGAACCUCCUUGGUGAAAAUUCUUGCUCCGCUAUUGAGCCCCCAAGCACCACCUAUCUUCCCUAAUACCCUAUUUGUUAUAUAGUACUAUUUCUAGGCGUAGCUUUUUAAGUGGGUAUUAGUUGAAGUAUUAGUUGAAUUAUAAGCUUGGCUAUUAUUUGAAGUAUUAGUUCACAUGUCGUAUUCCCUCCAUUCAAUUUGUUUUUCUUACUCUAUCAUUUACUCUAUUUCAAAAAUUAUCCUUUUUUUUUAAUGACUUGAAUUCUAUUUUGCCAUAUAACAUAUUUAAGAUCUCAAUAUUAAAAAAUAUUUUGACACAUUUUAUAUAUUUUUAGUUUAAGAUCAUCGAACAAAUAAAUUGAAACGGAGAAAAUAUAUCUAAAAGAUGGAAAACAUAAGAUAGAGGAAAAUGAAGAAAGAGGUAACCAUAUGUUAAACCGAAAACUUCAAAACAUCAUCUUUGUAGUAUAAAACAAUUUGGUGAACAUAAGCAUUUAAUUCCUUUUUCUUUUUCUCUGAAAGGGUGAAAGAGGAAACGUGUAAAAACUAAUCAGCACCUCGCUGUAGGCCUCCUUAGGUUAGGUUCCAAACUCAUCUUUUACUUGAUUCCUAUUUUACUUGUAUAUUUUUGUAAAUUAAGAAGAAUUUUAUUAUUUCUUUCCCAUAUUAACCUUAUUUUAAAGUUUCAUAGCAUUGUUAAUAAAGUUUAGUUUAAUAAAAUACAUCUCUAAUUAAAUUUUUAAAAAAAAAAAUUGCAAGGGCAAUGAGGGUCAAGUGAUAUAAAUCGGACAGAAUAUUACAUUUUUCUAAUUAAUUAGAACUCGAUCAAUUUAAUAUUCACUACAUUCAGCCGAUGUAGCCAAUAGAUGUAUGCAUGCAUGUGUUUGCAUUUAAAUUCCAAACAUUAACCAUGAUUGACCUUAACAUACUUUCUUAUCUCAUUUAAUCACUAUAACUGUUGUACCUAAAUAUGAUCUAGUAUAAACAUCGAAAGCAAAUAAUUUAUCGUCGCUAGGUGGAAUGUGGUGGUUGGCAUUGAUUGGUCUGAAAAUACUAGCCGCUUGACAUAGGGGUAGGGAUAUAUAUUUACUGUGUUCUGAGGAAAAGAUAUAUAGGGCUAGAAAAUUAAAAUUUUGGGAUUCUUGAAGCAGAAUGUAGGUUAACCUUCUCCAACUACUCACAUUACAUAUGGAUCGUUGCUACUGUAUUUGUUACUCCUUCCAACUGCUUUUUUUAAGUUCUGCAUUAAAUGUUAAACAACCCCUACACUUGAAUACGAGUGGUAUUUAAUUUGCACACCCUUCCAUCAUGUUUCCCGAAUUGUAGGACCAUUUUUUUUUCAAUGCUCUGGUCACUUUUUUCUCAUCUUUGGUGGACUGUCAAGUUAAUGUUCUCCACACAUAUACAAUUUUGGAAAGAAAAUAAGUCUCAAAAUAAGUUCAGUUUCAGCUCUAUUAAGAAAAAUAAUGAAUACAAGGUAUACAUUUAUAUUGUUUCACUUUACUUAUCAGCUUGUUGACUUGACACACAUUUUAAAACAUUUGUUUAGUGAAAAUACCAAGUUCUGGGCUUACUCUUUAAAUAGGCAAACAUAAACAUUACUCCCUCUAGUACAGUCCAUAUUAACUAGAUUUAGAAAAGAAAAAAAAAAAGAUAUAAAUUGAACACCACUUUUUAUUUCGCCCUUUUAGUUAUUUUCAAAUUAGUCUUGAAAAUAGAAAUAAUUUUUUCUUAAAAGAGUUGUAAAAUUAUAAAUAUGAGCAAUUAACUAUCUUAAACUUAUCAACUAAAAAAUGUAAAUGAAGUGCUCCAAUAACUCUAUUAAAAAUUCAGCAAGUAACUUCUUUUGAACAUUGAAAAAGACUCAAAAAUUCAAUUAUUAUGGACUAGAUGGGGUAUUGUCUAACCUUGGCAUUACCAUAAGGGCAUUUGAGAAAUUUGAGCCAAAGCCAAGGGUAAACUCUCCUAUUCCCAUCUAUAUAUUAGAAGCCCUUGGAUCAAUCCAUCUCAUUCCACAACAUUUUUCCAUAGCAAAGCCAAAAAUCAAUUUUACUUUUCCAGUGCCAAAAAAGAUGUCUCUAGUGACAGAUGAGAUCAGGGCCAGUGCAACUGAAUUCUACACUGGAAAUGAUAUGUGCCAAGUGAAAUCAAAGUUCUUGUUAACAGAAAUGGGGCUCCCUAAUGGCCUACUUCCUAUGCAAGACAUGUUAGAAUGUGGCUAUGUCGAGGACACAGGCUUUGUUUGGCUCAAAUCCAAGAAAAAGACACAACACAAGUUUGAAAAAAUUGAGAGAUCAGUCCAAUAUGCAACUGAAGUGACAGCCUAUGUGGAGCCCAACAAGAUCAAGAAACUUACUGGGGUUAAAGCUAAAGAGCUUCUUAUGUGGCUAACACUUACUGAAAUCUGUGUUGAUGAUCCAC
rnacentral:lncRNA from 1 species